rnacentral:lncRNA from 1 species
UGACCUAAGAAUCCUGAUUAUCUAAGUGUUCUUGAUCUCAAGCACGAAGAAGGAAGAAGGCGCAAGUCACUCGAAGGCACAAGUAUCUCAAGAUCGCGUGCAUGGUAAAUCUCAAGUUUAAAUGUGGCGCACUCGGACCGAUCACACGCACACGCAACGCCGACCUUAUGCGCUUCCGGUCCAAGUUGUUUAUUUUGAAUGGGUCAAUUUAACAUUUUGUGUAGUUAAUGUCAAUUAGUAAGUGUCUAGUUUGUUAGCAUGAAAUUUGGUUCCUAAACUUUUGGUUUUGAUUGUACAAAAUGUUAUCGGUGGACCUUAUAUGACCACCACUUUGUUAUUUGAAAAGUGUCGUAGGGUUUGGUUAAAUGAAUAUUGUA